rnacentral:rRNA from 1 species
CCCCUAGAUGUUCUGGGCCGCACGCGCGCUACACUGACCAGUGCAACAAGCAUCCGUCCUUGGCCGACAGGCUCGGGCAAUCUUUGAACGCUGGUCGUGAUGGGGAUAGACUUUUGCAAUUUUUGGUCUUCAACGAGGAAUUCCUAGUAAACGCAAGUCAUCAACUUGCAUUGAUUACGUCCCUGCCCUUUGUACACACCGCCCGUCGCACCUACCGAUUGAAUGGUCCGGUGAAGCCUCCGGAUUGGCGCGCACCUCGGUGCCGCCGAGAAGUUGGCUAAACCUUACCAUUUAGAGGAAGGUGAANUCGUANCA